AAUUAAGUUUAUUAAUAGCAUCCACUAUCAAUGUCAACUAGAAUGCUUGUGCUGGAUGACAUGUUUUUGUGUUAUGUGUGCACUAAUGCCAUCAUGUUUCUCUCAACACUGUAGAAGCAAGAAAAAUACAAAGACAUUGAGCUCACUGCUGUUGAUCUAUUCAAGGAGUUGCAUUGCAGCAAAACUAAAGGAUGAUAUGCAUGCCCAGGAAGCCCUUCCUUCACCAUCAGUAGAAGAUGGGCAGCAAGCUAAGACUUCAGUAGAAGUUGUUUCCAAAGUGCUGCCGAAGUCAAAUACAUUCCUUCGCAAUAUUGGAAUUCAGCAGCCUGCUGCCAAGACAACCAAUGUGGUGAAAGAACUACAAGCUGAAUUGGAUGCAAAGAAGCUAGAGUCUAUAGACUUCAGCAGGAGCUUGAAAGAUUGAAGGCGCAGACACAAGAAUCUGAGGCAAAAGUGGACAAACAAGCUGAGGAGAUUAAGAGCCUAAGAAAGAUGGCAGCAGAUACUCAGAGCCUCAUUCGACAAAUGAUAACAUUUGGACAGGGUCAGAUCAGUCCGCCCUAAGCUUCCUGUAUCCUAAGGAAUUUGGUGGCUGAUCCUAAAAUUUGAGGCUAGGAUCCCUUUUGGUAUUGGAGCAGCGCUGCUUGAUUGCGUGUCGUGGUGGAUUUUGGUCUUGGUACUUUUGUGUAUGAGAUUUUGGUUGUUGGAAUAGUGUUGGCUGGUGGCAAAUUUUGUGGUUUGGCUGUGCUUGGAGUAUUCGGCUAUAGUUUGGCUCUAUGCAUGGAGUGUUAAAUCUGUAGUUGUAGGUUGUUGGAAGCCUGGAAUGUGGCUGGAUGUCUUUUGUGUAUGGAACAUGUAUUCUAGAUUAUUAUCAAUGGCUGCAACAUAUU